AACGAACGCUGGCGGUAUGCUUAACACAUGCAAGUCGAACGAACAAAAUUGGGGCUUGCUCCAAUUUUAGUGAGUGGCAAACGGGUGAGUAACACGUGGGAAUCUACCUAUCAGUACGGAAUAACAUUUGGAAACAGAUGCUAAUACCGUAUAUUCUACAAGGAGGAAAGAUUUAUCGCUGAUAGAUGAGCCCGCGUAAGAUUAGGUAGUUGGUAGGGUAAUGGCCUACCAAGCCGACGAUCUUUAGCUGGUCUGAGAGGAUGAUCAGCCACACUGGGACUGAGACACGGCCCAGACUCCUACGGGAGGCAGCAGUGGGGAAUAUUGGACAAUGGGCGGAAGCCUGAUCCAGCAAUACCGCGUGAAUGAUGAAGGCCUUAGGGUUGUAAAGUUCUUUUAGUUGGAAAGAUAAUGACGGUACCAACAGAAAAAGCCCCGGCUAACUCCGUGCCAGCCGCCGCCGUAA
rnacentral:rRNA from 1 species